rnacentral:sRNA from 12 species
CGCCUAAACCUUACAAUUUUAUAAGGCAUGGCACAAAAAAACCGAUCAAGGUAUAGAGCUCGUCGUCAGAGCACCUUGAUCGGUCAUAUCUCGAAAGAGGUAUGGGUCCCGCAAGGGAUC